GCUGGGAAAGGAAGUGGACAUGACAGUCUUUGGGAUCCAACCAGGAUCACACAUGCACUCAGUUGCACAUCUCCUUGGUUCCCUCCAUCUGGGAUAGUCUUCCAGCCUUUCUUUGUCUUUCUUGGCUUGAAGAAUAGAGAGUAUAGCUGGAGAGCUUUGGACCUGGCGGAGCCAUCAGAAUGUUCAUCCCUGUGCUGUCCACCCAGGAAAGCAAGCGUCAGCCUGUGGGGCUGCUCUGUGGCAGCACAGACAGCUUGUGGAAGACAGGAGGAUGGUCAUUAGCCUCAUCUGUAAGGCCCAGCAGAAGGCUCUGGAGGGCCUUUCAGGGCUGUGCUCGCAGUGCCUGGGUGGGAGGCUUGCGGGGAGGGGGGUCCUGCACUCUGCCAAACCUGCCCUGGGCCCCUCCCUCUGGCACUGUUUGCGUAUCUUCCUGCUUCCUCCAGACAUCUCAUUCUCCUUGGAUUGUAAAUAAAAGAACAAUAUAG
rnacentral:lncRNA from 1 species